GCUCAGAUUGAACGCUGGCGGCAGGCCUAACACAUGCAAGUCGAACGGUAACAGGAAACAGCUUGCUGUUUCGCUGACGAGUGGCGGACGGGUGAGUAAUGUCUGGGAAACUGCCUGAUGGAGGGGGAUAACUACUGGAAACGGUAGCUAAUACCGCAUAACGUCGCAAGACCAAAGAGGGGGACCUUCGGGCCUCUUGCCAUCAGAUGUGCCCAGAUGGGAUUAGCUAGUAGGUGGGGUAACGGCUCACCUAGGCGACGAUCCCUAGCUGGUCUGAGAGGAUGACCAGCCACACUGGAACUGAGACACGGUCCAGACUCCUACGGGAGGCAGCAGUGGGGAAUAUUGCACAAUGGGCGCAAGCCUGAUGCAGCCAUGCCGCGUGUAUGAAGAAGGCCUUCGGGUUGUAAAGUACUUUCAGCGGGGAGGAAGGGAGUAAAGUUAAUACCUUUGCUCAUUGACGUUACCCGCAGAAGAAGCACCGGCUAACUCCGUGCCAGCAGCCGCGGUAAUACGGAGGGUGCAAGCGUUAAUCGGAAUUACUGGGCGUAAAGCGCACGCAGGCGGUUUGUUAAGUCAGAUGUGAAAUCCCCGGGCUCAACCAGGGAACUGCAUCUGAUACUGGCAAGCUUGAGUCUCGUAGAGGGGGGUAGAAUUCCAGGUGUAGCGGUGAAAUGCGUAGAGAUCUGGAGGAAUACCGGUGGCGAAGGCGGCCCCCUGGACGAAGACUGACGCUCAGGUGCGAAAGCGUGGGGAGCAAACAGGAUUAGAUACCCUGGUAGUCCACGCCGUAAACGAUGUCGACUUGGAGGUUGUGCCCUUGAGGCGUGGCUUCCGGAGCUAACGCGUUAAGUCGACCGCCUGGGGAGUACGGCCGCAAGGUUAAAACUCAAAUGAAUUGACGGGGGCCCGCACAAGCGGUGGAGCAUGUGGUUUAAUUCGAUGCAACGCGAAGAACCUUACCUGGUCUUGACAUCCACGGAAGUUUUCAGAGAUGAGAAUGUGCCUUCGGGAACCGUGAGACAGGUGCUGCAUGGCUGUCGUCAGCUCGUGUUGUGAAAUGUUGGGUUAAGUCCCGCAACGAGCGCAACCCUUAUCCUUUGUUGCCAGCGGUCCGGCCGGGAACUCAAAGGAGACUGCCAGUGAUAAACUGGAGGAAGGUGGGGAUGACGUCAAGUCAUCAUGGCCCUUACGACCAGGGCUACACACGUGCUACAAUGGCGCAUACAAAGAGAAGCGACCUCGCGAGAGCAAGCGGACCUCAUAAAGUGCGUCGUAGUCCGGAUUGGAGUCUGCAACUCGACUCCAUGAAGUCGGAAUCGCUAGUAAUCGUGGAUCAGAAUGCCACGGUGAAUACGUUCCCGGGCCUUGUACACACCGCCCGUCACACCAUGGGAGUGGGUUGCAAAAGAAGUAGGUAGCUUAACCUUCGGGAGGGCGCUUACCACUUUGUGAUUCAUGACUGGGGUGAAGUCGUAACAAGGUAACCGUAGGGGAACCUGCGGUUG
rnacentral:rRNA from 1 species